ensembl:Y_RNA Y_RNA Y RNA
GGCUGGUCUGAAGGUAGUGAGUUAUCCCAAUUGAUUGUUCACAGUUACAGAUUGAACUCCUUGAUCUACUCUUUCCCCAUUCUCACUACUGCACUUGACUAGUCCAAA